GAUGAACGCUGGCGGCGUGCCUAAUACAUGCAAGUCGAGCGAACAGACGAGGAGCUUGCUCCUCUGACGUUAGCGGCGGACGGGUGAGUAACACGUGGAUAACCUACCUAUAAGACUGGGAUAACUGCGGGAAACCGGAGCUAAUACCGGAUAAUAUAUUGAACCGCAUGGUUCAAUAGUGAAAGACGGUUUUGCUGUCUCUUAUAGAUGGAUCCGCGCCGCAUUAGCUAGUUGGUAAGGUAACGGCUUACCAAGGCAACGAUGCGUAGCCGACCUGAGAGGGUGAUCGGCCACACGGGAACUGAGACACGGUCCAGACUCCUACGGGAGGCAGCAGUAGGGAAUCUUCCGCAAUGGGCGAAAGCCUGACGGAGCAACGCCGCGUGAGUGAUGAAGGUCUUCGGAUCGUAAAACUCUGUUAUUAGGGAAGAACAAAUGUGUAAGUAACUAUGCACGUCUUGACGGUACCUAAUCAGAAAGCCACGGCUAACUACGUG
rnacentral:rRNA from 1 species